GACGAACGCUGGCGGCGUGCCUAAUACAUGCAAGUUGGGCGCUGAAGGUUGGUACUUGUACCAACUGGAUGAGCAGCGAACGGGUGAGUAACGCGUGGGGAAUCUGCCUUUGAGCGGGGGACAACAUUUGGAAACGAAUGCUAAUACCGCAUAAAAACUUUAAACACAAGUUUUAAGUUUGAAAGAUGCAAUUGCAUCACUCAAAGAUGAUCCCGCGUUGUAUUAGCUAGUUGGUGAGGUAAAGGCUCACCAAGGCGAUGAUACAUAGCCGACCUGAGAGGGUGAUCGGCCACAUUGGGACUGAGACACGGCCCAAACUCCUACGGGAGGCAGCAGUAGGGAAUCUUCGGCAAUGGACGAAAGUCUGACCGAGCAACGCCGCGUGAGUGAAGAAGGUUUUCGGAUCGUAAAACUCUGUUGGUAGAGAAGAACGUUGGUGAGAGUGGAAAGCUCAUCAAGUGACGGUAACUACCCAGAAAGGGACGGCUAACUACGUG
rnacentral:rRNA from 1 species